rnacentral:rRNA from 1 species
AAAGGAAUAGACGGGGACCCGCACAAGCAGCGGAGCAUGUGGUUUAAUUCGAAGCAACGCGAAGAACCUUACCAGGUCUUGACAUCCCUCUGACAGGCUCUUAACCGAGCCCUUCUUCGGACAGAGGAGACAGGUGGUGCAUGGUUGUCGUCAGCUCGUGUCGUGAGAUGUAGGGUUAAGUCCCAUAACGAGCGCAACCCUUGUCGUUAGUUACUAACAUUAAGUUGAGGACUCUAGCGAGACUGCCGAGGUUAACUCGGAGGAAGGUGGGGAUGACGUCAAAUCAUCAUGCCCCUUAUGAUCUGGGCUACACACGUGCUACAAUGGUCGGAAACAAUGGGAAGCAAAGCGGUGACGUGGAGCAAAACACCAAAACCGGCCCCAGUUCGGAUUGCAGGCUGCAACUCGCCUGCAUGAAGUCGGAGUUGCUAGUAAUCGCGGAUCAGAAUGCCGCGGUGAAUGCGUUCCCGGGUCUUGUACACACCGCCCGU